rnacentral:rRNA from 1 species
UACAGAGGUGCUCAAGCGUUGUUCGGAUUCAUUGGGCGUAAAGGGCGCGUAGGCUGCGGGGCAAGUCGGGUGUGAAAUCUCAAGAGCUCAACUCUGAAACUGCACUUCGAUACUGCUUUGCUCGAGGACUGGAGAGGAGAUUGGAAUUCACGGUGUAGCAGUGAAAUGCGUAGAUAUCGGGAGGAACACCAGUAGCGAAGGCGGCACUCUGGGCCGGAACUGACGCUGAGGAGCGAAAGCGUGGGGAGCAAACAGG